rnacentral:lncRNA from 1 species
CUGGUCAAAGUUACAAGUCCAUAUUUAGGUUAGAGUUUAACAAUUUAGUAAAACAUAUGACACAUGUAGAGGAAUACAAUCGUUUUUUCAAAUUAUACUUCCGUAUUUUCAGUAUAAAAAACUUACAAUGCGAGAACAAAAGAGCCUAAAAACUAUUUAUGACAAAAUUGACAAAAACUGUUCGUCGUUAACCAUAUUGAUUAGUAUUAAUUUUGAAACCACAGUCGUAUAAUAUAUUGUGUCUAUAUUAUCUGUUCAGUAACAAUGAGACAACUAUUUACAAAAGUUGAAAUGAAGUGAAUAUAAUCAUUUAUAGAAAACCGUAAUGUUUAGCAAUGAGAAAACCCCAUACCGUAAAGGGACUUUUAAAUGCUCCGACAUGAAAAAUAUGAAAUAAUUCAAUUGAGAAAACAAAUGGCCUAUUUUAUAACAAAAACAAAUAUUACAAACACGAACAAAAGAAAACCACUGAAAUAAAAGCUCCUGGCUUGGGAUAGUCAUAUAAAGAAUGUGGCGGGGUUCAACAUGUUUGUUAGUACUCAUACCUCCCCUAACCUGGGGAAGUGGUGUUAUAGCACAAAAAAAAGAACAGAUUGUAAAUAUCAGUUGCAAUUGAAAUGGUCGAUACUAAAAUGCAUCAUAAGAGUACUCUCAGUUACUGAAAGCCAGUUCAAAACCAAUUAAAUAAAUCUUGUUAUAAAAACCUAAAGUAUCAAUCAUUCCAUUUUAAAUGAUCUAGUGUAUAUAUAAAGACGUUAUAAACAGUCUGAAAACCACAUGAC